UAGUAUGUGUUAUGUUGACUCAAGCGUGAGUAUGACUAGUCUCAAGUCAUUUGGUGUUAGACACUAAGACAAACACAUAGGUGCUCGAAAGAGUAAUCAAGUACAUUGAACUACGAUCAAAAGAGAGUUCGAACAUACAUGUCAUGUAUGAACUCUAAAGUUGCAAUAUGCAAAGUAGUCCUUUGACCUGAGGCAUCAUAGAUGUCUAAUGGUUAGGUCCUUGAUCUUUAAUCAUGUCAACGGAAUUCCCUCGGAGUGUCCACGGCAUUGUUGGGGUCAAGCUAUCUAGUCAUGUAGGCAUAUGAAUGUACAACAAGGGAUCUCUAACCUUCCAUGGUGGAAGGAGAAUACUCUAAGAUAUGAUUCUAAAGUCUUUGGCCAAAGCAAAUGAAUAUGACUUAGGAAAUUUGUUCCAAAUCAUAUUCAACGGAAUCAUAUAGGAAAGUAUCACAUUGGAUAGUAGACAUGAAACAAACUAUCACUUAAACAAUGUGAUGAAGAGUAUUGUAUUAGAGAAGGACCGUAUUGCAUUGUAGUUGUAACUGGAUAGGUUCUCCAACCAAUU
rnacentral:lncRNA from 1 species